rnacentral:rRNA from 1 species
AUAGCGUAUAUUAAUUUUGUUGCGGUUAAAAAGCUCGUAGUUGGAUCUCAGUUUCGGGCGAGUGGUGUACCUUGCGGUAUUUACUGUUUGCCCGGACGAUUUUGCUGGUUCGUUUAUGGUUCUCUUAACCGAGUGCCAUAAGUGGCCAGCACGUUUACUUUGAAAAAAUUGGAGUGCUCAAAGCAGGCGCUACAGCCUGAACAUUAGUGCAUGGAAUAAUGGAAUAGGAUCUCGGUUCUAUUUCGUUGGCUUUCGGAGUCGAGGUAAUGAUUAAUAGGGACAGACGGGGGCAUUCGUACUGCGACGUUAGAGGUGAAAUUCUUGGAUUUAUGAAAGACUAACUUCUG